AUGAAAAGCACUUUGAAAAGAGGGUGAAAAGAACCUGAAACCGUCACGGGGGAAGCGGAUUGCGUUGGCCUGGUGGGCGCCUGUGUGUUCAGCCCUUUGGGUGCAUUGGCACAGGUGCUUAUCCGUCGUGGGUUUUCGAGAGUCGAAUUUGGGCUCUCGGGGGCUGAGGGCUCCCUUCGGGUGAGGACGGCGGAGUGACGACGCGAUACGACCCGUCUUGAAACACGGACCAAGGAGUCUAGCGCGAUUGCGAGUCGGAGGGUGCAAGCCCGUGGGCGUAGUGAAAGCGAGUGUAAAAACGAGCAGUUUGAGGCGGCAUAAGAUCGUUGAUCUUAAGACUGACCUAGAGCAGUUGCGCUGGGACCCGAAAGAUGGUGAACUAUGCCGGAGUAGGGCAAAGCCAGAGGAAACUCUGGUGGAGGCUCGUAGCGGUGCUGACGUGCAAAUCGCUCGUCCAACUUGGGUAUAGGGGCGAAAGACUAAUCGAACCAUCUAGUAGCUGGUUCCCUCCGAAGUUUCUCUCAGGAUAGCGGGCCGACAAGUUGUUUUGUGC
rnacentral:rRNA from 1 species